rnacentral:lncRNA from 1 species
CUAGCUUAGCUUAGUUUAGGAAUUUAGCAUGCAGGUACUCAUCAAAAUGUGCAUACAUCUUUGUCUCCUCUAUAGGGUGGAGAAUCUUCCCAUUGCUGGAAGUUUUUUUUUUCAAAAAUGGAAACUAUUACGGCACAUCGAUCGAUACACAAAGAGUAUCACAGCCCCGGUCUCUGCGUCGAAACGCACGCAGCUAAAAAGUAUGAGAUCAAACUUAAUUAUUACAUAGAAAAAAAAAGAACAAUUCUAAGCAGACUCGAUCUGCGACUAGACCGCCACCCAUUGUGGGUAAAAAAGUCCCUUACCACUUGCUCUAACUUAAUGCACGCCAUCAAACCCAAUCGCUGAUCCACCGGUUUGAGAAAGAUAGACCAAGUAGGGAGCCAAUAAGAAAAAAAAACAAGACCUGCAAUGGAGAAGUUAAGUUCUUUUUAUUAAAAACAAUAUCAUUUCUGCAUAACCAAAAUUGCCCAACAUGAACUCAGCAAAGUAACUCACACAUGCAAAACUACAUCCAGCAAAUCUAAAAGUAACUCUUAACAUUUGAACUACAUCCAGCAAAACUCAAAAAAGUAGCUCUUAACAACAUCACAAAUUCACAACUCUACGCAUCUUGUGAACUUAGGAAAGUAACUCACACAUGCAAAACUACAUCCACCAAAUCUAAAAGUAACUCUUAACUCUACUGAACUCAUGAAAGUAACUCACAUGUUAAAGCUACAUCCGGCAAAAUCUAAAAGUAACUCUAACCUGGAAUUUACAUCCGAAGAAAUAAGAUGGUCUCUUUAUGGAAGAAAUUCCUAACUCAAAACUGUCACUAAGGCUAGAGGAGCAGAGUGCAGCAGCCUCGAUGUCGCGG